rnacentral:lncRNA from 1 species
CACAAAACAGAAACCGAAGCACAAAGUACCAACCGGACAAACCAAACGGAGCCAGAAGCAAACGGACGCGUCGAAUCCGAGUCGGAACGGACCGGAGCACAAGGCAGCGACCGAAGUUCACACCACCGCAAAUCAACCAAUCGUGAGCGGACCCAAAGACAACGCAAAAGGUAGUAUUUUCUUUAUCUCUUAGAUCUAGGUCGUGAAAACAAAAAAGAAG